CCUGUCUGCACUAGCGCGGUGGUCCCACCUGACCCCAUGCCGAACUCAGAAGUGAAACGCCGUAGCGCCGAUGGUAGUGUGGGGUCUCCCCAUGCGAGAGUAGGGAACUGCCAGGC
rnacentral:rRNA from 1 species